CAGAUUAAUCUUAAUAGUUAAGUAUUUUAUUUACACUAAAAUUUUAGUUGUGCAAUUCAACAUAGUCUGA
rnacentral:tRNA from 1 species